CUGUUUUAUGCAAUGUCCACACAAAUUGCUUGGUCGAACUAUAAGAACAGUACGAAAGUGCUAAUCAAUGCUAUCGCAUUGAUUAACGCUUUUUUGCGUUAUGCUCUUUAACAAUCUGGAAAGCUGACUAGUAAAUUUAAUCGAAAGAUUAAUUUUAAAAAAAUGUUUUUAUCUUCGGAUAAAAACGAGUUCCCAAAACAUACACAUUCAAGUGUCUGUGUUUGCUUUCACUUUUUAAAGUGAAAACAAAUAAAUGAGUCCGGCGAAAAACCAAUGUUUAAUAUUUUCUUGAUCGGAUUAUUAAACGCAAACCUUGGUUAGUUGAACAUACAAGACCUCUUGGGGUUGUAU
rnacentral:misc_RNA from 1 species